GCCGAGGUGGCGGAAGCGGUAGACGCGCUAGCUUGAGGGGCUAGUGAGCGCAAGCUCGUGGGAGUUCAAAUCUCCCCCUCGGCA
rnacentral:tRNA from 1 species